AGGGGUUCCAAAGAAGGUGCAAGUCCUGUACAUUGAGAUUACUGGUUGAUAUUUGCGUGCUUUAGAGUCGGGUUGCUUGGGAUCGCAGCCCAAAGUCGGUGGUAAACUUCAUCUAAGACUUAAUAUUGCCACGAGUCCGAUAGCAAACAAGUACUGUGAAGGAAAGUUGCAAAGCACUUUGAAGAGAGAGUUAAAGAGGACGUGAAACCGGUGAGGUGGAAACGGAUAGAGUCGGCGUAUCUUGCAAGUAUUCAUUUACAUUAUUUUUGUGUUGUGAUCUCUGAGCUCCAGAUUGGGACAGAGGAAAGCAGCAUGAUUUUUUGUGAUGCAUUUGCUUGCUUGGUGCGUGGGGGUAUUUGAGGUGGAUUUGUGACCGCUAUUUUGAGGCCAGCUUGCUGGUACCCAAAUGGUGUUAACAUUUUUUGCUUUGGAUAUUUGAGUAUGGCUUACGGGCAUUUAUUGGUUCGAUCUGAGUGUAAGUUACGGUCGCAUGCGACACGUGCUUUUCAAUUAGUUCGGUCCAGUUAAUGCUCUCGUACUCUUUCCCCAUGUAAAAGCCGGUCAUCUAUCCGACCCGUCUUGAAACACGGACCAAGGAGUUUAUCGUGUGCGCAAGUUUUUGGGUGUUAAAAACCUAAAAGCGAAAUGAAAGUAAAUGAUUCUUUAGAGUCUGAUGUGCGAUCUUUUUUCAAAAAAGUGCAGCAUGGCCCCAUUCUAACUGUUUACAGUAGGGUGGCGGAAGAGCGUACGCGGUGAGACCCGAAAGAUGGUGAACUAUUCCUGAGCAGGACGAAGCCAGAGGAAACUCUGGUGGAAGUCCGAAGCGGUUCUGACGUGCAAAUCGAUCGUCUGACUUGGGUAUAGGGGCGAAAGACUAAUCGAACCAUCUAGUAGCUGGUUCCCUCUGAAGUUUCCCCCAGGAUAGCUGGAGCUCACGAGUAGUUAUACUCGGUAAAGCGAAUGAUUAGAGGACUUGGGAACGAAAUGUUCUUAACCUAUUCUCAAACUCUAAAUGGGUAUGAUGUCAAAGUUGCUUGAUUUUGAACUUUGGCGUUGAAUACGAGCUCCAAGUGGGCCAUUUUUGGUAAGCAGAACUGGCGAUGUGGGAUGAACCAAACGCGGAGUUGCGGUGCCAAAGUGCCCGCUCAUUAGACCCCAUAAAAGGUGUUGGUUGAUACAGACAGCAGGACGGUGGCCAUGGAAAGUCGGAAUCCGCUAAGGAGUGUGUAACAACUCACCUGCCGAAUCAACUAGCCCUGAAAAUGGAUGGCGCUGGAGCGGGCCACCUAUACUCUGCCGUCAUUUGCUUGUAUUUUUAUUAAAAAGUCUUGCAAUGACGUGUAAGAGGGUCGUAGUGGUUGCGUUGAAGGCUUUGGGUGUGCACCCAGCUGGAGCUUCCACUAGUGCAGAUCUUGGUGGUAGUAGCAAAUAUUCAAGUGAGAGAUCCUUGAAGACUGAAGUGGAGAAGGGUUCCACGUGAACAGCAGUUGAAUGUGGGUCAGUCGAUCCUAAGGCACCGGCUAAUGCCGUCUAGACACUGAGGGGAGAUAAAAUACUUAACGGUAUUUUGUCCACCCGGUUGCCGAAAGGGAAGUGGGUUAAUAUUCCCACACCAGGCAUGGGAGAUGGUGAUCCGCAAGGAUUACUUUGCGCGGUGACGCAAACGAACUCGUAGACCUCGUGUGGAGUCCGGGCCAGAGUUCUCUUUUCUGGUUUAGAGAUCAUGUCCCUGGAAGUGGCUCAGCCUGAGAUAGGGAUGCUGGUCUCGUAAAGCGCAGCGGUUCCUGUUGUGUCCCGUGUGCUCCACAUGAGCCGUGAAAAUGCGAGGGAGGCAAUUAUAAAAUCUCCUGCCUGAUCGUACCCAUAUCCGCAGCAGGUCUCCAAGGUGAACAGCCUCUAGUCGAUAGAAUAAUGUAGGUAAGGGAAGUCGGCAAAUUAGAUUCGUAACUUCGGGAAAAGAAUUGGCUCUAAAGGUUGGGUCAGUCGGGCUGUUGUGUGAAAUAGGUGGACUUUGCCCGUGGCUGCUUGCGCUUCCUUUCGGGGCGGUGCUUGUGGACUAGUGGUGAGGACUACUUAUGGAGCGCUUCAGCUGCGUGCUAUUUCGCAAGAUUUAGUACUUCGAUUGGCGCUGAACAACCAGUUUAAGAACUGGCACGAACUUCCGGGAAUCCGACUGUCUAAUUAAAACAGAGGAGACGGAUGGUCCUUGCAGGACGUUGACCGUGUCUGAUUUCUGCCCAGUGCUCUGAAUGUUAAGCCAAGGAAACUUGAUUAAGCGCGGGUAAACGGCGGGAGUAACUAUGACUCUCUUAAGGUAGCCAAAUGCCUCGUCGGCUAACUACCGACGCGCACGAAUGGAUCAACGAGAUUCCCACUGUCCCUAUCUACUAUCUAGCGAAACCACAGCCAAGGGAACGGGCUUGGCAAAUUUAGCGGGGAAAGAAGACCCUGUUGAGCUUGACUUCUAGUCUGACUUUUGUGAAGAAUCAUGAGAGGUGUAGCAUAAGUGGGAGUCGCAAGACAACAGUGAAAUACCACUACUUUCAUCGAUUCCUUACUUAAUCGGUAAAACGGGAGUUGUGUCUACGGACCUUCAUUUUUGUUUUAAGACUAGCCACUCGGUGGUUGGUUGACUCGCGCCGAUGACAUUGUCAGGCGGGGAGGUUUGACUGGGGCGGUACAUCUGUCAAAUUGUAACGCA
rfam:Meloidogyne hapla strain VW9 Mh10g200708_Contig3191, whole genome shotgun sequence.